rnacentral:rRNA from 1 species
AACGAACGCUGGCGGCGCGCCUAACACAUGCAAGUCGAACGGGCAGUUAUCUUCGGAUGGCUGUCAGUGGCGGACGGGUGAGUAACGCGUGGGAACCUGCCCAAGGGUUCGGGAUAACCGUGGGAAACCAUGGCUAAGACCGGAUACGGCCGAGAGGCGAAAGAUUCAUCGCCCUCGGAGGGGCCCGCGUCGGAUUAGCUAGACGGUGGGGUAACGGCCUACCGUGGCUUCGAUCCGUAGCUGGUCUGAGAGGAUGACCAGCCACAUUGGGACUGAGAUACGGCCCAGACUCCUACGGGAGGCAGCAGUGGGGAAUAUUGCACAAUGGGCGAAAGCCUGAUGCAGCAACGCCGCGUGCGGGAUGACGGCCUUCGGGUUGUAAACCGCUUUCAGCAGGGACGAAGCGCAAGUGACGGUACCUGCAGAAGAAGCACCGGCUAACUACGUGCCAGCAGCCGCCGUAACAC